CUGGGAGGACCAUCUCCUAAGGCUAAAUACUCUCUAGUGACCGAUAGUGAACCAGUACCGUGAGGGAAAGGUGAAAAGCACCCCGGAAGGGGAGUGAAAUAGAACCUGAAACCGUGUGCUUACAAGUAGUCAGAGCCCGUUAAUGGGUGAUGGCGUGCCUUUUGUAGAAUGAACCGGCGAGUUACGAUUUGAUGCAAGGUUAAGCAGUAAAUGUGGAGCCGUAGCGAAAGCGAGUCUGAAUAGGGCGUUUAGUAUUUGGUCGUAGACCCGAAACCAGGUGAUCUACCCUUGGUCAGGUUGAAGUUCAGGUAACACUGAAUGGAGGACCGAACCGACUUACGUUGAAAAGUGAGCGGAUGAACUGAGGGUAGCGGAGAAAUUCCAAUCGAACCUGGAGAUAGCUGGUUCUCUCCGAAAUAGCUUUAGGGCUAGCCUCAAGUGAUGAUUAUUGGAGGUAGAGCACUGUUUGGACGAGGGGCCCCUCUCGGGUUACCGAAUUCAGACAAACUCCGAAUGCCAAUUAAUUUAACUUGGGAGUCAGAACAUGGGUGAUAAGGUCCGUGUUCGAAAGGGAAACAGCCCAGACCACCAGCUAAGGUCCCAAAAUAUAUGUUAAGUGGAAAAGGAUGUGGCGUUGCCCAGACAACUAGGAUGUUGGCUUAGAAGCAGCCAUCAUUUAAAGAGUGCGUAAUAGCUCACUAGUCGAGUGACACUGCGCCGAAAAUGUACCGGGGCUAAACAUAUUACCGAAGCUGUGGAUUGUCCUUUGGACAAUGGUAGGAGAGCGUUCUAAGGGCGUUGAAGCAUGAUCGUAAGGACAUGUGGAGCGCUUAGAAGUGAGAAUGCCGGUGUGAGUAGCGAAAGACGGGUGAGAAUCCCGUCCACCGAUUGACUAAGGUUUCCAGAGGAAGGCUCGUCCGCUCUGGGUUAGUCGGGUCCUAAGCUGAGGCCGACAGGCGUAGGCGAUGGAUAACAGGUUGAUAUUCCUGUA
rnacentral:rRNA from 1 species